rnacentral:rRNA from 1 species
AGUGAACGCUGGCGGUAGGCCUAACACAUGCAAGUCGAACGGCAGCACAGUAAGAGCUUGCUCUUACGGGUGGCGAGUGGCGGACGGGUGAGGAAUACAUCGGAAUCUACUUUUUCGUGGGGGAUAACGUAGGGAAACUUACGCUAAUACCGCAUACGACCUACGGGUGAAAGCAGGGGAUCUUUGGACCUUGCGUGAUUGAAUGAGCCGAUGUCGGAUUAGCUAGUUGGCGGGGUAAAGGCCCACCAAGGCGACGAUCCGUAGCUGGUCUGAGAGGAUGAUCAGCCACACUGGAACUGAGACACGGUCCAGACUCCUACGGGAGGCAGCAGUGGGGAAUAUUGGACAAUGGGCGCAAGCCUGAUCCAGCCAUACCGCGUGGGUGAAGAAGGCCUUCGGGUUGUAAAGCCCUUUUGUUGGGAAAGAAAAGCAGCAGGUUAAUACCCCGCUGCUCUGACGGUACCCAAAGAAUAAGCACCGGCUAACUUCGUG